CGGGGCGUAGUUCAGUUGGCUAGAAUGCACGCUUUGGGAGCGUGAGGUCGUGAGUUCGAGUCUCGCCGCCCCGACCA
rnacentral:tRNA from 1 species